rnacentral:rRNA from 1 species
GACGAACGCUGGCGGUAUGCUUAACACAUGCAAGUCGAACGAGAAGCUUUUUAAUGAUCCUUCGGGUGAACUAAGAAGUGGAAAGUGGCGAACGGGUGAGUAACGCGUGGGUAACCUGCCUCAUGGAAAGGAAUAGCCUCGGGAAACUGGGAGUAAAGCCUUAUAUUAUUGAGUUGUCGCAUGGCAAUUCGAUGAAAACUCCGGUGCCAUGAGAUGGACCCGCGUCCCAUUAGCUAGUUGGUGAGAUAACAGCCCACCAAGGCAACGAUGGGUAACCGGUCUGGGAGGGCGAACGGUCACACUGGAACUGAGACACGGUCCAGGCUCCUACGGGAGGCAGCAGUGGGGAAUAUUGCGCAAUGGGGGAAACCCUGACGCAGCAAUACCGCGUGAGUGAAGAAGGUUUUCGGAUCGUAAAACUCUUUUGUUGGGGAAGAAGAAGUGACGGUACCCAAUGAAGAAGUCCCGGCUAACUACGUGCCAGCCGCCGCGGUAA